CCAUGACAUUUCAAUUAUUUGAACAGGGCAGGAUGCCGGGGCUCCUGCAAGUUGGAGCCGCAGCCUUGCAGCUGGGUGGGCGAGGACCCUGAGUCUGGCUGUGGGCUGACCCGGGCUGGAGACUCUUGCUGUGCCCCUUCCUCUCCGGCCUUGCUUACGCUGGCUGCAGCAGUCCGGACGCCACCGUGGAAAGUCACCAGGGCUUCGGAAUUAUAACAUCUACGAGGAGGUGAGGUGGGGCCCGUGUCCCUGAACACGGCAGAUCUGCAGCCUUUUCCUUGUGGGUUUUGGGGUCUCAUGGCUGGAAAAGGAACUUGAUGGGCCUCACAGGCACUCAAGUGACACAGACACACGCGGCUGGGAAGCACCCGCCACUGUGCACAUGUCGCGGGAGAUGGAGGAGGCCGCGGCUGGCUCUGCCCCUGCUUCGCGCCGGGCUUCUCAGGGGCCCAGAGACGGCUGUGCGGCUCCGCCCGCGGGGUGGGCGUGUCCCUGCAGAGGAGACAAGGAGGCACCAAGCGGGACUGCCAGGUCCGCUUUUCCAGCCUCCAGCCAGAUGGACGGCACUCGGCUGUCUGGGCAGAGGGAGGAGCAACUUGGUUCGUGGCGAGAGCGCCCAGAGCCCUUGGGCCUGCGUCUGCCUGCGUGGCGUGUGGCCGGGACCCUCCGGCACCGAGCGCUUCACACGUUUGACCACGCGUUGCCACAGCCACUCCCUGCUCCGGGGCUGGAACCCCCAUUUUACAGAAGAAGAAUUGCUGCAAUAAGUAAAAAGAAGAAUAAAUGUUUAGCUCAAGGCAGCGUGGUGUGAUGGAAAUUAAUGACACUGCCUGCAUGGAUGUCUGGAUGCAUCUUGUUCUUGCUGUGAUGUUUUCAGAGGGAUGCAUUGACGGCAGCCGGCACGGCCGCAGCAGCCGGGUCCUGUGUUUGCUCAGCUGAACCAGAUUUAGUGCAACCAAUGGGAUGAACGUGGGGACUUCCUCCCCAUGCUGGAUGUCGGCCACAUAGCAUUCACCUGUGCUCAGAAUGUUCCCAAAUACGGCUGCAGAAGGAACAAUAAAGUCCUGGAUCUGCUGUUCCUGUGUUUCUGUCGCACAAAACCCAGGAGCUGCCAAGAUGCUGACGUCCGGGAAAGCUGGGCGAGUGGGAGACAUCAGAGCUCACCGGAAUGCCGCCAGUAUUUCUGGCUGCUUUUCUCCCACUGAGCUUGUUUGUGUGGCAUUUUCUCUGCAGAUGCAUCCAGAGCCCAUGAAAACAACUACAGUCUCUGUUCACUUGUAGGAAACAGGCUGGAGAAGGUUCCGUGUUGGCAGGAAUAAGUCAGCUCCACCUGGACACGUAGCCCCAGCUUCUUCCCACUGAUGAGCAAGGGCUGCAGGAAGUUUUCCCUUCAUCACGGCAGGGUCUGGUACCGCCAAGAACGCGGAAGAGAGGCUUGCGGCAUGAGUAAAUGAAGGAGGGAGAGAAUAAACGUAAUCAGUAAAUCACUUGUGGUGUCCAUUCCAACAAAAGCCAUCUUAUAAAAAUAAAGGUGCCCCACCUCUCUCUCCCGAGGCCCGCGGGAUUCACCAUCAGCUCCGCCGUGCCACUGGAGGGAGCUCUCUGUCCUCCAGCUUCCCCGGGCUGUCAAUCAAUCCCAGCAGCACGUUCCGACUAGCCCUGCUGGGACACAUGGUCUCCUCUUGGCCUGGUCGCUGUUGCUCUGGGCGUGAGACCCACCACUCCUGGAUCCUGGUCAUUGCUGCAGUCUGCGGGGGAGCCAGGUUCUGCACGCGAGGGAUGUCUCUUCUGUCCACGAGCCUUCUUCAAACUGUGCUCGCCGAUGCAGCAUGUCCGUGGGGUGCUACAUUUCAAACUGGAUAGCUGAGAUGUCACAUCUGAAGUGCCCCCCGGGGGACCUCAGACUGCAAAGGCACGUGCUGUGUGAGGAAUUAAGACGGACCCGGACGUUGGACUCCCCUGGGCAGCGGACAGAUUAGGGACUUAAUUACACCUGCCAAAUGCCUGCGGAGCAGCCCCUGCGUCAGUGCCUGAGUUAAUAACAGAGCCUGCGGCCCGGCUGAGCGCUUCUCUUCCGAGACACUGAUGGGGAAACCGAGGCACACGAAGAGUGGCUUUCCCAUGUCAUGGAGCAGCAGCCGUCCAGCCUGAGUCUGUGCUCAGGAUCCUCCCAUAGCGCCUUCCGCCUUGGAGUGCCGCUCCUGCAGACAGAACCUCGAAUCUGCUCUGCUUCCUCUUUCUUCAGUAAAUCUCUGUUAGACCAUGACUGGCCGCAGCGAGGUGCGUGUGGCCAGCUGACAGCUGACCCUGCAGGGUGGAGAACGUUCCUCCCCCCCUGGACGGCUUUGUGCCACCCCGUCCUCGCCGAGCUAUCCCUCUCCCGUGGAGGGUCACAGGGAAGUGCCUGCAGGGCUCGGCGUGAAGAGCGGGAUGAGGCAGACACCUGUAAGACGGUGAGUAGGGACUGACGGGGGACUUGCAGGGGUCAGCGGGAGGAAGCCACUGUGGGAAGGGGACGCCCGUGUCCUUCCAGGUGGGAACAGGAGCCCAGCGAUGCUGGAUCUUACCAUUUCCCCAGAAAACCUGGAAAUAUGGAUUUUUAUGUAAAAUACCUUAUUAUUAAAUAUGUUAAUAAGAAGUUAAAAGCAAGUACUGGCGUGGCAUAAUGUGGGCCAGAGAAGUCGGACCCGGGGGCUUCAUCCGGCCCAGGGCUGCCCUCACCUCCCUGCAACCCCAGCGAGAGGCCCCGGCCGGGUGCAGUGGGGACAGGUACGCGACAGAGCUCCGGCUUGUUCUCGUGGCAGAGGGCCGGCGCGGGCAGGGCGUUUUCAGCCGUCUAUUCUCAGCCCCGCUGAGAGCGGCCAGUGUGGAUGGAAAUGAAGGAGAAAUGUGCUCUGCAGCUGGAGGGAAAUCAGCUCGGCUGCUGGACGGUUCUGGGGAGGCUGCAGUCCGGGGCAGGUCGCGGGAGACACAUAUUUUAUUCAGGUGGGUUCGCCCAUUCAUAAUGUAACAUCUGCGCUUGUUUCUCCUGCCCCAGAGGAUGGAAAGGAAUCGCCGCAGCUUCCUCCCUGUAGACCUGCUCAGAGCCGCCCCUCGCACGCGCCAUCUUUUUUUAUUUUUAAUUAUUAUUUUCUUCCUCCACAAUCCCUUUUUUCUUAGUGGUCCCGUUUCUCUCCUCUAUAAUGAAAAAGCAAUAGUAGCAGUAGGUUGCGUGUAAGAUAAGCUUGUUUUGUUUUCAGCCUUUUUAUUAUUUAACCUGCACCCACGGGGAGGUAAACGGAUCCUCUCUCACGGAGGAGACGGACAGACCCGCCGAGCAGGCAGGGCUUGUGCGGGAAUUCCAGGUCAGGAUUUGCUGGGGCUAGAAGAUUUAAUUUGCCAGACUGCUGGGCCUGUCAGAAGUUUCUGCAGUAUCCACUUGGGGCUUCAUAAAACCGAAGCAGCAGAGGAGGAAAAUGAAAUCUUGGAUCAAUUUCUCUGUUUGGAGACCUUAACUUAUGUUCAGUUGGAAAAAGAGAAAAAGAAAGAAUCCAACCAAGCAACCGUAAUUGUCACGGCAGAUUAGCCGAGGAAACCAAGGCACGGGGCAGGGCCAGGCCGGCCACGGGGCAGGACCAGAGGAUGCUCUGGGCAGGGAGCUGCGGGGUCCAGGGAGCCCGUGCCUCGUGCUGGGAACAACUGCGCACCUCAGGCCAGAAUUCACCCAUCUAAAGUGGACGAUUAAGCAGGACCGAGUAAAUUCACAGAGUUUUGCGACCAUCGCCACAAUCCAAGUCGAGACCGUUUGGUGCUGCACCGUUGACUUGUCCCAUCCCUCAGGUCGGACACCUGGCUGCAUGUGUCAGUUCUCAUUCCUCCAGCACCGCUUCUCUCCCCAGUGUGCUCCUUUUGCUUGCGCCAAAGACCACAAACCUGGGCUCGACCUGCCAGUGUGUAGAAUCGAUUGUGCCGUCCUGUAAUUUAAUGCUCCUGGUGAUGAUAAUCCCGCUCUGCACGACACACGGACACGUCAUAGACCCUCCAGCACGCCAGAGGGUGAGCCUGGCGCACAGCGGGACACAGGGAAGGAGCAAAUCUUCGCAGUCAUGUCCGGGCCCUGAGACCCGCCUUCCUCCUCUGGCUUUACCGGUAACUCCACCUGUCCUCCGCCCACGGCGCUGGGGAGUUCUUUGACACCAGCCCAGUGGGAAGGUAAAAUCUGACCCAUGUGACUUUUGGUCCUUAGCAUAAAUGAAGGGAAGACUCCUCGCGGGUUGCGAAGGUGAGCUUGGAGCUGAAGGACACAGUUCUUUGUCACUGAGCCCAGGCAGGACAGCCGCUGAGCUGAGUAGUGCACGUGAGAGCCCUUUGCAAUCGGCAAGCUCUAACUAUUCUGAACUUGCAGGAAGAGUCGGCCUUCUUGACAGGCUGGGCUGUGCUCACACCGAGGCGCUGGGGGCAUUUGGGAGCUGCGGGAGUAACAACCGCCCCAUCUCCGCAGGGGCCGUCCCACGCACGGGGGACUCAGAGUGGGCUCGAGGUGCCUGGGCCCGGGAAUUGUGUAAGCAGACUGCACGGGCCCCAGACUGAGGACGGCGGUGUCAGGUCUGUCUGAAACCCCCUCUGUCUGCAGAACUCGUUAGGAGGGAGAAACUGCUUCUAAACUAGCAAGUGACAAAUUUUCUCCACUGAUACAGUUGCCAGAGGAGCAGGUCAUUGCAGGUCGCUCCUGUUUAAUCGCGGUAAACACUGCUCCUGCGUUGACCCGUCACUUACCAACAACAGCUAAACUAGGUGUUAUUUAAUCAUGUAACCCAGCGCACCAGCCACCCUCUCUGCCCACGGAAACAUGACAAUCCGGUCCUUUAAGAAAUACCUGAGGAUUUCAGCUGCCAACAGAUAUUGAUCAAUUGCAGAGCUGCUUCCCCAAAUCAAUAGCAGCACGCAGGCAAGACCGCAGCCUCGGGACGGAGGGAGUUGAUGGUCUGAACCUCCUUUUAACAGUCAGGCUGGGGGGCCCUGGUGUCCAGGCUGAAGGAUAAGCCCCCCGACCUGUCUUCUCAGCUUGUCUGCCAAGGUGCUGUCUGCAUGAAGAGGUCAGAGGUGCUCCUGGGGGAUCUAUAUGAACAAAAGAAGAACUUCUAUUGGGCCCCGGACUAUGUCUUCAUCUUUCUUAUCACCUAAGCGAUUUUAAGUUGAUGGUGUUUAAUGAGAUCCGCAUCGUUCAGAUAGACUUCAAGCUGUGACCCAGCAAGACGAUACCAAUUUAGCCUUACUAAACACACCUCCCGAUUUUUUUAAAGUACUUCAUGCCACAUAAAUUAGGCUGCCAUUGAGAUAAUUGGAUCCUUGUGGCUCUUAAUUUUUCAUAGAUACACUAUUUUGAAAAUAAAUCAUGAACCAUCAUCUGGGAAUGUUAAAGGCAAUUUACAUUCAAUAUGCUUUUCUACUUCAGAGCAUGCGUUUGUGUGUCUCUCUAACAGGUGACUGACGGGGGGGGGGGCUCCCUUGCUGGCUGUCAGAGUCACAAAUCUAAAACAGCCACGUCUGUGCAAAGUACACAGAAUCCUGUUGACUUUUUGUCCAUCAUCUUUUCUGAAAUGGAUAUGUCCAAAUAUUCAUCUAAAAUAAUUGGUUAAAAUUGUUCCAGAAAACAUUAUUUUUUUUUCCCCUGGGCAUUUCAAGAGUCCAUUCUGUGUUUGCACGAAGGCUGUACCUUUUCAAUAGACAGAAUAUCUCAAUGACAUUCAAUACAAAUGAAUAGGCUUCUCUGAUGUAUAAAGAACUCGAUUACAUGUUUCAAUAAAGAAUGAAAGUGUGUUUUCUUUUUCAAAAAGAUCUCUGCUUUUUGCCUGCAGGCAGCGUAAACAUUAGCACAAAGCGAAUCGCUGCACUGCGCUCCUGUAUAGCCUUUGAUUUUAAAAUGCUAAUGUGCACACCCUCGCAACCUUGCUCCACACCCUGAACUGUCAAAUGGAAAGUAUCAAAAUUACUGGUAAUUCCAAACGGAGGGCCAACCAAGUGUAUGUCUUGAUAGUAAAAUGAAACAAUGUAUCGUAUGUCAAGUAAAAACACAUCACCCAAAAUUCAUUUCCUCCCUUUCUGGCAAUUGCAACACCUCCAUGGUUUUCAUCGGGAGAUGGUAUGGAAAGAGAGGCAUUCGAUAAAUACAGUGUAAGUGCAUUCUGCA